AGUGAACGCUGGCGGUAGGCCUAACACAUGCAAGUCGAACGGCAGCACAGGAGAGCUUGCUCUCUGGGUGGCGAGUGGCGGACGGGUGAGGAAUACAUCGGAAUCUACUCUGUCGUGGGGGAUAACGUAGGGAAACUUACGCUAAUACCGCAUACGAACUACGGGUGAAAGCAGGGGACCUUCGGGCCUUGCGCGAUUGAAUGAGCCGAUGUCGGAUUAGCUAGUUUGCGGGGUAAAGGCCCACCAAGGCGACGAUCCGUAGCUGGUCUGAGAGGAUGAUCAGCCACACUGGAACUGAGACACGGUCCAGACUCGUACGGGAGGCAGCAUUGGGGAAUAUUGGACAAUGGGCGCAAGCCGGGUCCAGCCAUGCCGCGUGGGUGAAGAAGGCCUUCGGGUUGUAAAGCCCUUUUGUUGGGAAAGAAAUCCAGCUGGCUAAUACCCGGUUGGGAUGACGGUACCCAAAGAAUAAGCACCGGCUAACUUCUUGCCAGCCGCCGCCGUAA
rnacentral:rRNA from 1 species